rnacentral:rRNA from 1 species
AACGAACGCUGGCGGCAUGCCUAACACAUGCAAGUCGAACGAGACCUUCGGGUCUAGUGGCGCACGGGUGCGUAACGCGUGGGAACCUGCCCUUAGGUUCGGAAUAACUCCCCGAAAGGGGUGCUAAUACCGGAUAAUGUCUUCGGACCAAAGAUUUAUCGCCUUUGGAUGGGCCCGCGUUGGAUUAGCUAGUUGGUAGGGUAAAAGCCUACCAAGGCGACGAUCCAUAGCUGGUCUGAGAGGAUGAUCAGCCACACUGGGACUGAGACACGGCCCAGACUCCUACGGGAGGCAGCAGUGGGGUAUAUUGGACAAUGGGCGAAAGCCUGAUCCAGCAAUGCCGCGUGAGUGAAGAAGGCCUUAGGGUUGUAAAGCUCUUUUACCCGGGAUGAUAAUGACAGUACCGGGAGAAUAAGCUCCGGCUAACUCCGUG